AAGUGUGCAAUGCUUCUGAGCCCUUCUGGUUCACAGCACAGCUAGUGGAUCCGAACUGCUUGUGGUGGAGAUCUCUGUGGUAAUUACCUGGUUGUAAAACUUGCAGCAGACCAGCUGCGCUGCUGCAACCCACCUCAUUCACAGGUCAUUGUACAGCAGGUGUUGAAGAUCUGUAUCGCUACUGGCAGAGACACUCUUGCUGCUGCUGGCUCAGACAAAUGCUGAUCUUUGCUCUGCUGAGGAAAUCACAUUACUGUAAAAACAGCACAGGGAGCUACUUCCUAUGGAGAGCUGGCUGAGCUGAAUAUCAGACCUUGCUAAAGAAAAACCUGUGAUAAAGACUUGGUGGCAGUUAAUAAGAGAUAUAAUAAAAAGGAACCAGCUGCAGGGAAGCAAAAAGCAUAUG
rnacentral:lncRNA from 1 species